rnacentral:lncRNA from 1 species
GAUAUGUUAUCUUCAUUUUACAGAUAUGUGUUGGAAUAUAAUUUGACUUCAAAAUUUAAUUGUUGUUUUGAGAUCAUCUCACCAUCAGAAGAUUUUGUGUGUUAAAUUUCAGAAAUUACAGCAAAGUAUUUGCAGAUGCCUAUUUACCACAGUCAAUAACAGAAUUGAUUGAAACCAAAAUUCUAAAAUCACUUAAAGUAGGUUUAACUUCACAGUAUCCGAACUGCCUCCAAGUGGACAGGGACAAUUCCUCCUCCCAGGCACUGGUUUAUUGUCAGAAUAAUCAUGUACAGGUAAUUACAUAUUAACCUUUUGGCAUGUUCUUCAGGUAAA